UCCCUGGCGGUCCAGUGGUUAAGACUCUGCGCUUCAGCUGCAGGGGGCACAGGUUCGAUCCCUGGUCAGGGAA
rnacentral:tRNA from 1 species